UGGAUGGAUUAUCCAGUCACGGUACAUAAUGAAAGACUUCACCGAGUCAGAAGAAGCUGGGCGACUCUUCAGAGUGAAGAUGUUAUGAUGCAGUUAUGUCUAAGUACUCGUUUUGGCUGGCCAGAUUGGAACAGACCUGAAUGGGAAGAUGGCAGAGCUAAGACUGACAAUGUCCAGGAAAAAUGUUAACUAAAAAUGAGUGUGUUUUUCCCCAGCGAGUGAGUUUGGGAAUGUUUUAAAUGUGCCUAGAAGUUUGAAAAUGUAAUACUGAGGGAAAAAGUGAGCGCUUUGAAAAGGCUUUAAAAAGAAAAUAAAGUCUGAAGUUGAUGUUAAAUGAAGUUAAAGUUUUUACUUGAAAAGUUUGUACUUGUUUGUACUUGUCAAGUCUGUGCUGAAAAAAUGCAGUAAAGUUUGUAUUUGAAAAGA